GACCUUGAGGAAAGAGACCUAAGCAAGUCACUUUAAGACAGCAACUGAACUGCUCAACCCUGCCUGCCUCUUGAGGCUUCUUUGAGGACUGAUGCAAAGAGAAGGAGCCUCCAGUGUGUGCACCAGCACGAGUCUACUGAGUCCCAUCGGCGAAUCUCACAGCUUUCCUAACCACAGUCCACUGCACUCUUACCGCCGUUUCUGGUCUGCCUCUUCUCCCCACACUGGCGUCUGAGUCACCUGAGUGGUCACGAGCCAGGUUCAAGACCAGCUUGGGCACUCUGGGACUUGGGCAAAUGAUUGUCUCUCUACCCCUGUUUCAUCUGUUAAAGGAGAACCUACCACCUCAGAGGGCUGUUGUGAGGAAAAUAACAUUUUUCAAGUGUCUGGCAUGCAUUGUUAAUAAAAAUCAAUGUUUCUAGUCUCAGCUUCUUCACUGGCUCUUGGUAACUGUUUUUUAAGUAUGUGGAUCUGACCCACAGUGCCUUUAAUAUAAAAUCUAAACACUCCCUCAAAGAGGAAGUCCAACCAGCCCUCCCAGGUCUGGGCCCAUGGACGCCUUCUUGAACUCACUUUCCCACGUGCUCUGCUCUCACUGUGCUGUCCAUCAAGCACAUACAACUACAGGCUGAUUUAGCCUCAAAGCAGGAAUGACGGACUCUCUGAAGCCAUUUCUGACCACUCCUUUCCUUCUACUGUUAUGCCCUAAACAAACAUCUGGCAUAACACCUGUUAAUACUUCAUUCUUCUGAGAAUCAGCUUCCAGAGGGCAAAGGGGCCACAUCCUAUUUAUCUCACAGCCCCAGAGGCUCAAGAGCUGGCGUGAUAAACAUUAGGUAUUUAGUGGACAACAGCUUGAAGAGGAAUGUGC